UUUACUUUAUGUUAUUAGCUGCAUCGAUAACGUCGUAUUUGGCGCAACUUUGUCAUGUAUUGUUCAGAACGUUACCGUUGGGUCAAUAUUUUAAGCGUGAACCCAAAAGUGUACAUUUAUGAGUUCUUAACUGGAAGAAUUAAUAUGUCUAGAUAUGUUUAUUUAUAAGAUUGUAUUAUUAUAAGCAUUUUGAGUCGAGGACUCCUAUAUUUUAUGUCAGCGUUUUACGUUAUGUUUUUCUUCCUGCUUAGAAUAUUUACUUCCGGUAAUUUGAAAUAAAUACGAGUGCAACGUCAUGUUCGUUAGUCUUUGCUGUGUUUACGUUUGGCUUGCAGCAAGGCUCAUCCCGGGGGUCCUAGAGCAAACAGAUGUUGGGAACCAUAUGUAAAAUGUAAAGAUGGUAUUGAAUGUGUGAAUUCCAGGUUAAAAUGUGAUGGAGACUACGAUUGCAAGGAUAGGUCUGACGAAGAUGAGGAUACUUGCCACGAAACUAAAAGAUAUCUUAAUGAUUUCUUGGGGUAUCGGAAAAUGGAACGAAGAUUACUAAAUUGAAGAAUUAAACAACUGGAUUCUGCAAGCGUUUAACUUCUGCAAUUUAAUGUUCUUCUUCAAAUUAUUGAUACUAUACUCAUAAUAAACAAAAAGAAUGU